GGGUUAGUUUCUUAAUAGGUAAAGAGCUUUCUUGUCGAGAAAGAUUAUGCCGGAUCGAGGCCGGCCUAACCCG
rnacentral:tRNA from 1 species